GAUGAACGCUGGCGGCGUGCCUAAUACAUGCAAGUCGAGCGAACAGACUCGUAGCUUGCUCCUCUGUCGUUAGCCGCGGACGGGUGAGUAACACGUGGAUACCCUACUUAUAUGACUGGGAUAACUUCGGGAAUCCGUCGCUAAUACCGGAUAAUAUAUUGAUCCGUAUGGUUCAAUAGAGAAAGACGGUUUUGCUGUCACUUAUAGAUGGAUCCGCUCUGCAUUAGCUAGUUGGUAAGGUAACGGCUUACCAAGGCACCGCUUCGUAGACGACGUGAGAGAGGGAUCGGCCACAUGAGAGGUGAGACACGGACCUUGCUCCUGCGGGAGGCAGCAGUAGCGUAUGGUACGCAGUGGGCGGGAACUUGACGGAAUAACGGCGCGUGUGAUAUGGAGACCUUGGGUGCGGAAAGCCCGGUUAUGAGGUGUAAACAAAUGUGGAAGGGACUAAAGACGUAGUGACGGUACCUGAUCAGAAAGCCACGGCUAACUACGUG
rnacentral:rRNA from 1 species